rnacentral:rRNA from 1 species
CAAAUGACUCUCGGCAACGGAUAUCUUGGCUCACGCAUCGAUGAAGAACGUAGCAAAAUGCGAUACUUGGUGUGAAUUGCAGAAUCCCGUGAACCAUCGAGUUUUUGAACGCAAGUUGCGCCCAAAGCCUCUCGGCCGAGGGCACGUCUGCCUGGGCGUCACAC